rnacentral:piRNA from 1 species
AGUGUGGGAAGGCCGUGAGGGUCUGCAGUC